AUGCCAAUGAAACAAGCCAGCAGGGAAAGAAUCAUGAAGGCCCGAGUGGCAUCCCAGUACGCUGUGGGUGAGGAGAUGAAACGACAUGAUAAUCACCAACACAAUAACAUGGACAAAAUACAACAUUGAUCAGGAAUGGGGAUCUGCUGGCGCACAUGCACAACACCAAAAAGUCAGAGAUUCCAAUAUUUCGGGGUUAUCAAAGCACAGAACAGCCCAAUAUUGUGCAGCGCAGGCAGGAAAGUUGUUUGAG